CAAAAACCUGAGAGGAACAAAAGAGUAACCUCAGAGGAAUUGAUAAGGAAUUUGAGAAGAACCUAAGAGGAACCCGUGAGGAAUCCGAAAGGAACCUGAGCAGAGCCACCUUCUCCUCAUGCAGCGACAUCAUGCAAACAUUUAAAAAGCAUCUGUACCUGUUACUGACCUUUCAGGUCCAGAUCGGAUCCUCUCAAGCAGCGUGUUCUCCAUGUCCGAAUCUGAUCUGCCCAUCUGAGACAUGUCCGCUUUCCCCCUCGGGUUCUCCAGGACCUGACAGACAAGAAGCUACACGUUACACUGCUGUGAGAAUGUGAGCUGUUUAACUGCAAGAGCCUCGGCAUGUUCCAGCUGCUGUAUCUCCUUCAUCUUCUCAUCAAAUCUCUUCAUCUGUUCCAGGAUCAAAACCUCCAAACACCUAAACACACAAACACAC